AUCAUAUUUACUUUAUUCAUUAUAGCUCCUUUUUUUCUGCACAACUUUGCCAACCAGCUAACUCGUACGUUCGUUGACUCCGCCCACUGAGGUUUAACUGGAUUGAUGUGUUUAUUUGUGACUCUUACAAAUACUUAACUAAAACCACAGUCUGUGUACAUUUUGCUGGGAAGGCCUGAACAUCACGAGCUUGUGAUGUUAGUGUCCUUUUAUUUCACACCAUGUUGUGAAUCGUCUGAGCCGUCCUACUACAGGCUGAGUGGACAAGAUGAAAAAGGGAAAAACAUCUCGGCCUGCCUGGCCAGCGACUUCAGCGACUUCAACACCACUAGAGACAGUGUGCUGUUCAAUGGGACGGAGGCGACCCGGAUGGAGGGAGACCGUUUCUACAGCCAGGUGGCGCUGUACAAGCCAGAGGACGGGCAGGAUUGCCCGGAAACAUCUGGACCCGGCUGUGGCGGUGGACUCUUCAGCCCAGACGUGGGGGUGAACACCGUGUCCUUCAUCGUGCUCGGCCUCAGGCUCCUCCUCCUGAAGACCAUCGUCUUCAACGUCCUGAUGACCCUGCGGCUUUGGAUCAGUUAGAACGCAGCAGGACGCCGCAGCGUCGGGACGUCGGGACGUCCUGCAGCCUGUCGGACGCUCCCCGUGUGCCAGAGCCCGGCUCGGGCUUUAAAUCAUGAAUGAGUUUUCUAUUUGUUCUUUGUUUUUUUUUGAUCAUUUUAUCAUUUUAUCAUUGGAUCAUUUCCACUGCAGUGUCUCUGUCCUGUAAAUAUCCCGGCUCCAUGUCCCCGUCCCGUCCCUCAUGUGUCUCUCAGCGCUCUGGAAAAUUCUGAAAACAUCAAUAAAGGAAAAGAAAACUGA